AACGAACGCUGGCGGCAUGCCUAACACAUGCAAGUCGAACGAGACCUUCGGGUCUAGUGGCGCACGGGUGCGUAACGCGUGGGAACCUGCCCUUAGGUUCGGAAUAACUCCCCGAAAGGGGUGCUAAUACCGGAUAAUGUCUUCGGACCAAAGAUUUAUCGCCUUUGGAUGGGCCCGGGUUGGAUUAGCUAGUUGGUAGGGUAAAAGCCUACCAAGGCUACGAUCCAUAGCUGGUCUGAGAGGAUGAUCAGCCACACUGGGACUGAGACACGGCCCAGACUCCUACGGGAGGCAGCAGUGGGGAAUAUUGGAAAAUGGGCGAAAGCCUGAUCCAGCAAUGCCGCGUGAGUGAUGAAGGCCUUAGGGUUGUAAAGCUCUUUUACCCGGGAUGAUAAUGACAGUACCGGGAGAAUAAGCUCCGGCUAACUCCGUG
rnacentral:rRNA from 1 species